GAGGUUUUUAUGCACAGCUCCUCUUCUGUUUACCUUUUUAAAUAAUUUCGAUGGUCGGGGGGCAGACACCGUCACUAUAGGAUUUUCACUAAGUACCACCAUUCUUUCAACAACUACCAGAACAUCUGGAACCACAAUCUGGAACCCAAGUGAGUAUGACAAAUUGUGAUCUUUUACACUACACUUUGAAUACUGUAAUCGUCUACUAACAGCCAUAUACAAAGCUAAAUUAUAAGUGAAGGAUCUAAGGGAGAACAAUGAUAUUGAACUUGACACUGAAAAUGAAGACCUUGUCUAAGACAGCUGUAUUACUCAGUUUAAGCACCCUUCUGGCCUGCAUUAUAAUGCUAGUUACUGUGUUUCUAGUUGUCAGAAGUCUGAGAAUAAAAAUCUCCUUUACGUCUUCAUUGUCUGAGGACGACAUCAGGAAAAACAUCAUACAACUGAUUAAAGCUAAACUGGUGAGUCAAGGAGUGCCAUCAGACCUACCUCGAAACCUCUUGACCAAUAUAAAAAUAUGUUCAGACAUGAUUUUAUGUCCAAUGUUUACUUUUUAUUUGUCUGUUUAUAUUAAAGCCAACUGCAGAAACAAAUUCUCUUUAGUAAAAUUAAUCUUAAGUGACUAUUGAAAAUUUUAUUUACUGCACAGUUGUAAUUUACAGUACUCUCAUAACCAUGACAGCAGAAAUGUCUUCAUAUCAUGUCACUUCCUGGUUCAUUGUCUAACCUAAAAUAAAUUUGUGUUUGUGUUGUGCAUCAAGAUAAUAAAGUAUAUUUUAAAGGA